AGCGAACGCUGGCGGCAGGCUUAACACAUGCAAGUCGAGCGGGCCUUUCGGGGUCAGCGGCGGACGGGUGAGUAACGCGUGGGAACGUGCCCUCUGGUUCGGAAUAACUCAGGGAAACUUGAGCUAAUACCGGAUACGCCCUUUUGGGGAAAGGCUUGCUGCCGGAGGAUCGGCCCGCGUCUGAUUAGCUAGUUGGUGAGGUAACGGCUCACCAAGGCGACGAUCAGUAGCUGGUCUGAGAGGAUGAUCAGCCACACUGGGACUGAGACACGGCCCAGACUCCUACGGGAGGCAGCAGUGGGGAAUAUUGGAAAAUGGGCGCAAGCCUGAUGCAGCCAUGCCGCGUGAGUGAUGAAGGCCUUAGGGUUGUAAAGCUCUUUUAUCCGGGACGAUAAUGACGGUACCGGAGGAAUAAGCCCCGGCUAACUUCGUG
rnacentral:rRNA from 1 species